GGACGAACGCUGGCGGCGUGCCUAACACAUGCAAGUCGAACGGAGUCAGAAAGCCUGCUUUUGACUUAGUGGCGGACGGGUGAGUAACGCGUGAGUAACCUGCCUCUGAGAGGGGAAUAACGUUCUGAAAAGAACGCUAAUACCGCAUAACGUAUCGAAGCCGCAUGACUUUGAUACCAAAGAUUUUAUCGCUCGGAGAUGGACUCGCGUCCGAUUAGUUAGUUGGUGAGGUAACGGCUCACCAAGACCGCGAUCGGUAGCCGGACUGAGAGGUUGAUCGGCCACAUUGGGACUGAGACACGGCCCAGACUCCUACGGGAGGCAGCAGUGGGGGAUAUUGCGCAAUGGGGGCAACCCUGACGCCAGCAACGCCGCGUGAAGGAUGAAGGUUUUCGGAUUGUAAACUUCUUUUAUCAGGGACGAAGCUUGACGGUACCUGAUGAAUAAGCUCCGGCUAACUACGUGCCAGCAGCCGC
rnacentral:rRNA from 1 species